UGGGGAAUAUUGGACAAUGGGCGCAAGCCUGAUCCAGCAAUGCCGCGUGUGCGAAGAAGGUCUUCGGAUUGUAAAGCACUUUCGGCGGGGACGAUGAUGACGGUACCCGCAGAAGAAGCCCCGGCUAACUUCGUGCCAGCAGCCGCGGUAAUACGAAGGGGGCUAGCGUUGCUCGGAAUGACUGGGCGUAAAGGCGCGUAGGCGGAUGGGACAGUCAGAUGUGAAAUUCCCGGGCUCAACCUGGGGGCGGCAUUUGAGACGUUCUGUCUGGAGUGGGGAAGAGGGUCGUGGAAUUCCCAGUGUAGAGGUGGAAUUCGUAGAUAUUGGGAAGAACACCGGUGGCGAAGGCGGCGACCUGGUCCUUGACUGACGCUGAGGCGCGAAAGCGUGGGGAGCAAACAGGAUUAGAUACCCUGGUAGUCCACGCCGUAAACGAUGUGCGCUGGAUGUUGGGCGACCUAGUCGCUCAGUGUCGCAGCUAACGCGCUAAGCGCACCGCCUGGGGA
rnacentral:rRNA from 1 species